UUUCGAAUCAUUCACAAUGGGCGAAAGCCUGAUGGUGCAAUGCCGCGUGGGGGAUGACGGUCUUCGGAUUGUAAACCCCUGUCACCAAGGACUAAACCUGCAUGAUGAAUGCAGCUGAAUUAACUUGGAGAGGAAGCCGUGGCUAACUCCGUGCCAGCAGCCGCGGUAAUACGGAGACGGCGAGCGUUACUCGGAUUCACUGGGCGUAAAGGGAGCGCAGGCGGCCAAGUGUGUCAGGUGUGAAAUCCCGGGGCUCAACCCCGGAACUGCGCCUGAAACUACUUGGCUUGAGACUCGGAGGGGUAAGCGGAAUUUGUGGUGUAGCGGUGAAAUGCGUAGAUAUCACAAGGAACACCGAUGGCGAAGGCAGCUUACUGGACGAGAUCUGACGCUCAGGCUCGAAAGCGUGGGGAGCGAAAGGGAUUAGAUACCCCCGUAGUCC
rnacentral:rRNA from 1 species